AGCAGCCGCGGUAAUUCCAGCUCCAAUAGCGUAUAUUAAAGUUGUUGCAGUUAAAAAGCUCGUAGUUGAAUUUCGGGGUUAGUAGGUCGGUCGUGCCACUGGUAUGUACUGGUCUCACUGAUUCCUCCUUCCUGAUGAACCGUAAUGCCAUUAAUUUGGUGUUGCGGGGAGACUGGACUGUUACUUUGAAAAAAUUAGAGUGUUUAAAGCAGGCUAACGCUUGAAUACAUUAGCAUGGAAUAACGGAAUAGGACGUUCGAUCUUAUUUUGUUGGUUUCUAGGAUUGACGUAAUGAUUAAUAGGGAUAGUUGGGGGCAUUAGUAUUCAAUUGUCAGAGGUGAAAUUCUUGGAUUUAUUGAAGACUAACUACUGCGAAAGCAUUUGCCAAGGAUGUUUUCAUUAAUCAAGAACGAAAGUUAGGGGGUCGAAGACGAUCAGAUACCGUCGUAGUCUUAACCAUAAACUAUGCCGACUAGGGAUCGGAUGACGUUAAUUUU
rnacentral:sRNA from 1 species